rnacentral:tRNA from 1 species
GCCAGUUUGGCUCAGUGGAUAGAGCAUUGGCCUGUGGACCGAAUGGUCCCAGGUUUGAUUCCUGUCAAGGGCA